GGGAGGGGGUCAUUUUACUUCGGCUUCCUCUUCUGCUUCCCUCUGUCCCUGGGAGCGCUCUGUCUCCCUGCUGCAUCUUUCAAUGGCUUUAUCAGAGCUUGCACCAACUCAAGCGUGAGAAGUAGCUCUGGGCCCAGCAGGGAGAGGUGGGGGAGUGUGUCUGUGUGUGCCGCGGGGCGGUGGGGGGAGCGAGGGGAAGACGAGGGAGGAAAUGUUAUUCUGUCCUUUGUCUUUUCAACAAUUUCUUUUUAAUGCAACUUGCAGAGCAGCAUAUAAUUAGGGGUCUUGCAGAGCAGGCUUAAACUCAGGAGUAACCCUUCUAACGACCUCAGCAACGGAUAAUCAGGUGCGCGGCUGUGGGGCGCAGCACGGCUCCCCACCCGCCGCGCCGCUCGGCCUCAUAAUUAGAAGCCUCCACACUCCGCUGCAUAAAGGCAGAUUGCAAGGACAGCGUGAAGCCCUUGUUUGAAGCUGGGGGCACAAAGAUUGCAGUGCCUCUGAUGGAUGGAGACAAAGACUCCGAUACUGGAACGCUUCCAGCAGCCUCCGAAUACUCGCUGCGUUUCUGAUGGACAUUUUCAGGAUUUCUUAGAGCGGCAAGGCACAGGACUAAAUGAAAACUGACACUGCAGUGUAUCCUAGCUACAGGAAGGAAAGAGGAGGAGGAAGAAAAGGAUUGAGGACAGGACCUCUGGGUGAGAAGAAUGUGAGUGAGGGGAGUGACAGUCUGUGUCAUGUAGCCUGUUAUAAAACAGUCACUGACUUCUAUUUUACCCCAAUUUCACCACCUUUUUGCAUCUUCUGAGCUGCUGCCAUGGCUUGUUUGUGGGUUCCUCUGCACCUGACCCUCCCCAGCAACCCUGGGAGCUUCUCAUCCCACUGCAGCCACAGCAAAGGGAACGGGAGAAAACCAAACAGCUCUGGCAACUUGAACACAGCACAGCAACAGACUGACAAAAAGCAGCAAAGCCAAAAGUGCCUGAAUAAAAAAACUGAGGAAAAAAACCCCAUUACAGCAAAUCAGAAACUGUGAAUUGCCAGAGAAGCUCCCUUGGAAAGAGCAGAAAAGGCAGGUUCAGGGAAGAGCAAUAUCCAUAAAGUGACACAGUGCCAAUGGGUUUUUUUCCCCCUAUUUAUAAUGACAAGUUAACAGGGGCUGGAAUAGAACAAAACAUGGAAGAUUUUCAUAGGAAGAAUCAGGACACUGUGCCAAGGAUGGCUGCCCUGAACUCAAGUUAUCCGUGAACUCACAUUUGUAGGCACUUAAAACCUAGCAAAAUCAUUAACAAGCUAAUAAGAACCACCAGCAAAAGGAACAUAACCUGGAUUCACUAAUGUGUUUCAUUCUGAAUGAUGAAAGGGCAGAAGCAUCCAGACACUGGGUUGCUGCAGCUAAAAAAAAAAACCAAACUAGCAAAAGAUGCUGUGAUAUGCAUUGUCUACUACCCUACCUUUUCCAUACCAGUACAUACCAGUUUUGAUGCUGCUACAUCAAAAUGGUCUCCAGUCUGUCUGUCUUGUGCUCUCCCCACUGUUCAGAAAGCACAGUAAUUUCAUAAGUUCUACAACAUCCUCCAGAAAAAUGGACUGGAACAAACAUUGUACAGCUCAGCUCAGGAAUUUCCUUUGUCCCUCUGCACAGACCCAUUGAACCACUCAGCUCCAUGACCAGCCCACUGUUGUUUGGAAAUCAGUAGCUUCGAGGGAGCAAGGCAACCUCAGGGUGUGGGGUCUGCAAGGACAUCUCUCGACUCAUGACUGCUUCUCAUUCACCAGGGUUUGAGGAGAUACAAUAUGGGUAGUCCUGAUUUGGCAGUCCAUGCCAGCCUUGAACUCUGUAGUGGUUUUGCUUUGGUUGGAAGCAUACAGGGACAAACCUGUUUAUACCUUCCCUGUGAAAUGAUCUUACAAGCUUCAGAUGCUUUUAUGCUGGUUGUAUCACAUAUUUCAGUGAAGAGGAGCAUGGUUUCAUCACAUGGCAGAUCCGCUCUACUUUUUCCACAGCAAGACGCGUAGUCACCUGAACAAAUCUUUUCUCCAGAUCUUUCUGGGGAACUGAUGAUGAAUACACAUUUGGGGAACUACAAAGAGGUAAGCUGUAAAGAGCUUUUGAAUGUUUACAAGCUGAUCCAGAUCUGUGACACUCAGAAACUACGUAAAUCCACCUUCACUUCUUUCAGCUUCCCAUCCAACACCCUUGCUACAAACAGUUUGCAUAAACUACUUCAUAAAUCUUAAAAUUACUUAAGAAAGCACCUCUGCCAGCACCUUUGUCCCAGCCCAGUUCACACUCCCUGCAGCUCGGUUCCCACAAGGACAUGCACUAAAUCCCAUCAAAGCAGUGGGAGAGCCUGGCCUGGCCAUGGAGCGCACAGUCCAUCUUGGCACGGUCAGAAGAAAGGCUCCUGCCCCUGGAGGGAGAGCAAUCCUCUCCUAAGCCCUGGCUUGUGGUCUCCCAGCCUCUCUGAACAGCAGGCCUUGACUCAUGUGCCUGUGCUGCCAGCAGUGAAGCCAUGCAGACAGAGCUGGCACAGCUCCUGAUGACCUUGGAGAUGCGGCUCCUCGGCUCAGGCGGAAAUGUACGAGAUCAGACAAGGAGGAGAACAGAAAGGGAACAAGAGAUUCCAGAGGGCUCCUCUGCCUCUGAGACUUGUUACUGUUGACUCCUUUAGUGUGAUUAACUCCUUGACAUCCUCCUUCUGUGACAAGUGGGGGAGGACAGACUGAACUUGGUGAUUAAUUUAUCAGUGAACUGCCUCCUUCCCUUUCAAACCUCGCCCCCACUGAUUAUCUUUAUGAUUUAGUACAACCUCACGAGAGGGUUUACAGCCUGAUAAAGGUUUGGCAGUUGUCACUUCAGCACUGAAAAACUCCAUUUGGGACAUUGUGUGUUCCUCCAACAGACCUGGUGGUAAUAGAGUUUGCAAGCUUCAGCCCACCCCACAAGCUCUGUGUGAGGAAAAGAAAUCCUCUCCUCCUCAACCUCUUGCUCAAAUGACAGUAAUUAGGGAAUCUCAUCACCAGACCUGGAGAGGGAGGGGACGUUCACAGUAAUUGGAGACAUUAUAUGAAGCCACACUGUGCUUAUUAAAAAAAAGAGUAAAACCUCACACAGAAGAAAGCAGCCCCCUUCCCCCAAGCUGGCUGGCAUUUCCUGAAUAAACUGCCUUUUUACAGGCA